rnacentral:rRNA from 1 species
CACGUAGGGUGCGAGCGUUGUCCGGAAUUAUUGGGCGUAAAGAGCUCGUAGGCGGUGUGUCGCGUCGGCCGUGAAAAACUUGGGGCUUAACUCUGAGCGUGCGGUCGAUACGGGCAUCACUUGAGUUCGGCAGGGGGAGACUGGAAUUCCUGGUGUAGCGGUGAAAUGCGCAGAUAUCAGGAGGAAACACCGGUGGCGAAGGCGGGGUCUCUGGGCCGAUACUGACGCUGAGGAGCGAAAAGCAUGGGGG